UGUUGCCAUGACAGGACUGCUACUAAGGGAUGAGAGGGCCAUUCGCAGGAGAGGGCUGCUGCUGGCCUGCAGAGGGCUCCUAACAAGAGCACAUGACCAGCAGCCUGCAGAGAGAUGAAGACCUUGAACUCCGAGUGACCCUGGGACCAGAACUCUGGAUUCACUAAACCCCAGCAUCUCUAAGCCAGCAUCCUACCCAGAGAGCUCAUUCUCCAGACCUGACCAGCCAGUCUUCAGCCCCAGUUCCAGCACCAAAAGCACCCCGAUUUUACCCGUCCUGGUGCCCACAGUGAGAUUCUACAUACCAGAAGAUACUAGUUGAGGACAUCAACUUACGUUUGGCUCCAAGGAGGGCAGGGGGUCUCAGAUGGGGAGGCUGACUUCUCUUACCUGAGAUGCUGCCAGCCAGGCCACUCUCCAUCCCUGCAGGCCUCCUACUGCAUCAGUGCUGAGUUUCAAGGCUGACACCCUCAGCGUGGGUAGAGAGUGUGUGAGGAGCAAGCCACACAGGAACUGGGUACAUCAGGGGUCUGGAAGCCAUCCACUGGAGACAUGAACAGGAAGGAAGCCCACAGCUCCAUCUUCCAGGGAAGGUGGAUACCUCCCUCUGGCAGGCUGGCUGGAAUAGAAACUUUUCUGUUAUAAAAAUAAGAUGUGGGGCUGGAGAGAUAGCUCAGCGAUUAAGAGCACUGACUGCUCUUCCAAAGGUCCUGAGUUCAAAUCCCAGCAACCACAUGGUGGCUUACAACCAUCUGUAAUGAGAUCUGAUUCCCUCUUCUGGAGUGUCAGAAGACAGCUACAGUGUACUUACAUAGAAUAAAUAAAUCUAAAAAAAAUA
rnacentral:lncRNA from 1 species